rnacentral:rRNA from 1 species
AGGGAGUUUGAUCCUGGCUCAGGAUGAACGCUAGCUACAGGCUUAACACAUGCAAGUCGAGGGGCAGCGGGUGUAGCAAUACAUGCCGGCGACCGGCGCAAGGGUGCGUAACGCGUGAGCAAUCUGCCCGUAUCAGGGGGAUAAGCGAUGGAAACGUCGUCUAAUACCGCAUAACACCAAUGAUGGCAUCAUCGAUGGUUGAAAGCUUCGGUGGAUACGGAUGAGCUCGCGAGACAUUAGUUAGUUGGCGGGGUAACGGCCCACCAAGACCGCGAUGUCUAGGGGAACUGAGAGGUUGGUCCCCCACACUGGAACUGAGACACGGUCCAGACUCCUACGGGAGGCAGCAGUGAGGAAUAUUGGACAAUGGCCGGAAGGCUGAUCCAGCCAUGCCGCGUGAAGGAAUAAGGUCCUAUGGAUUGUAAACUUCUUUUGUACGAGAGCAAUAAGUGUCACGAGUGACACGAUGAGAGUAUCGUACGAAUAAGCAUCGGCUAACUCCGUGCCAGCAGCCGCGGUAAUACGGAGGAUGCGAGCGUUAUCCGGAUUUAUUGGGUUUAAAGGGUGCGUAGGCGGGAUUUUAGGUCAGCGGUGAAACGCAAGGGCUCAACCCUUGACCUGCCGUUGAAACUGGAGUUCUUGAAUGCGGAUGCUGUGGGAGGAAUGUGUGGUGUAGCGGUGAAAUGCAUAGAUAUCACACAGAACACCGAUUGCGAAGGCAUCUCACAAAUCCGUGAUUGACGCUGAGGCACGAAAGUGUGGGGAUCAAACAGGAUUAGAUACCCUGGUAGUCCCCU